rnacentral:tRNA from 1 species
UUUGCGGUGAAAGUGAGUGCAGUUUAUUUGUAAUCAGCAGGUCGUCAGUUCAAUUCUGACAGUCGGCUCCA